rnacentral:rRNA from 1 species
CCUACGGGAGGCAGCAGUGAGGAAUAUUGGUCAAUGGACGAGAGUCUGAACCAGCCAAGUAGCGUGAAGGAUGACUGCCCUAUGGGUUGUAAACUUCUUUUAUAUGGGAAUAAAAUGUUCCACGUGUGGGAUUUUGUAUGUACCAUAUGAAUAAGGAUCGGCUAACUCCGUGGCAGCAGCCGCGGUAAUACGGAGGAUCCGAGCGUUAUCCGGAUUUAUUGGGUUUAAAGGGAGCGUAGGUGGAUUGUUAAGUCAGUUGUGAAAGUUUGCGGCUCAACCGUAAAAUUGCAGUUGAAACUGGCAGUCUUGAGUACAGUAGAGGUGGGCGGAAUUCGUGGUGUAGCGGUGAAAUGCUUAGAUAUCACGAAGAACUCCGAUUGCGAAGGCAGCUCACUGGACUGCAACUGACACUGAGGCUCGAAAGUGUGGGUAUCAAACAGGAUUAGAUACCCCUGUAGUC